rnacentral:lncRNA from 1 species
CUGAAAUGUAAGGGUCAGCGGGGGUGAUGGGGGGGGGCGGUCAAGCCUGAAGACAGAGCGCAGCCAUCUCAGCUCUAGCUGACAGUUGCCAUGAGGGAAUCCUGGUGCAGUCAGAUCCUUUUAUUGAACCAUUGUUAAAAAGAAGCCCCAAAUGAAGAUUUUAUAUGGAGUCUUCUGAUUUUAAAUUUGGCAAUUAAUUCACAUUUGUAAAUAAAACUGGUUUGGCUAUAGAGAACAGUUAGUGACCCCAGCUAAGCAGAAUUCCACCAAAUACCCUGCUGUUGAAGAGACAGAGAUUCAAACAUAGAGUGUGUACAAGCUUGGUUGGUAUCACAGUUCUACCAGUGCUGCCUUAUGAUGUUGGGCAUAUUUUUUCACCUCAUUUGAGAAAGGCUUUAAUAAUGCCUGACCAAAUAAUGCUGGACCAAGCAGAGAAGGUAGACACAAUUCAUGGCACACGGCAGGCACUGAGACAGUUUCAGCUCCUUGUAUGUUUGCUGAUGUCAUCUUGGUUUUUCAGGAUGGCACAUCUAACUUUAAAUCUACGUACUCAGUGCCUUGUUUCUUUUCCAUCUCAGAGUACAGUGAAAAUGCUGGGUUGAGGACUGGUCCUCCUGUCUUGGUUCCUUCAUGCUUCCUCUCCUCAGGCCUAGGACUAAAAAAUCCUUUGGGGAAAGUCACGUGUUAUAUUGAAUGUGGCUGAUACAAAGAUACUUUUCAAAGGGAAAAAAAAGCUGCUUUCUACCAUUUGCACUGUUCUAAUCUUUGGUAUUGAAGAAAAUCUGCGAGGAGGACAAGGGAGAUAUAGUUACUCUCCAGCUCUUUGGGACAUCUGGCAAUGAGUCCAAACACAUGCAAAUAAAGAAUGAAGUUAUUUUCAUAAAAGGUGGAGCCAUGUACCCUUGUAAUUAUGCUCUCUGAUUUUAGAAGGAGGAGAAAGAUAAGAUUUAAGGAAUUAGGAAAAGGAAUGACCAGAAAACAAGGGCCGCAGUGUGGAAAACAUAAAGAAUUAUUUGAGUAAAUGACAACUCACAUUUUUUAAAAAGUAUGUAUCUCCUUGAAAAAUCCUCUGAACAUUUCUAAAUUUUGAAGCUUUCAUACAUACAUCUGAAAAAAGAGAAUAUUAGGCUUUUUAUUAGUGUGAAUUUACAAGACUUCUCUUGAUGUGAUUAUGUAAGUUUAUACACGAUUCUUUUCUUUUUAAAAAGCAUUUACUCAUUUUUUUUUUUUUUUGGUUUCGUAACUCUCAACAAUGGGCGUUAAAUUGAUUGAAGUUAUAUUAAAUUGGGUAUAUUAUGUGAGUAGUUAUAUAUUUCAGUUAAUGAAAUUUGAAGCUUUAAACUUUUUAAAAAGUAAAUAACAUAGUUUCUUAAUAAAAUAUAUUUUCAAGAUGAAUUGAUAUCUUGGUUAUGGCAUGUGCAAGGGAGAGUGGAAAGGAAUUUUUUAUUUUUUAAAUAUAUCUUACAUAAGAAUACUAGGAGGAUUCUAACAUACAACAUAAGAGCCUAAUUUUUUAACAAGUUACUUUUCAUUAUAAUAGGGACUUCCUUGUAGAUUUAGUG